AUACGGAGGAUGCAAGCGUUAUCCGGAUUUAUUGGGUUUAAAGGAUGCGUAGGCUGUUCGGAAAGUCAGGGGUGAAAGCCCGGCGCCUAACGCCGGAACUGCCUUUGAUACUUCCGAGCUGGAAUACGGAUGCCGUGGGAGGAAUGAGUAGUGUAGCGGUGAAAUGCAUAGAUAUUACUCAGAACACCGAUUGCGAAGGCAUCUCACGAAUCCGUCAUUGACGCUGAGGCACGAAAGCGUGGGGAUCAAACAGGAUUAGAUACCCUGGUAGUCCACGCAGUAAACGAUGAUGACUAACCGUCGGCGAUACACAGUCGGUGGCCAAGCGAAAGCGAUAAGUCAUCCACCUGGGGAGUACGUUCGCAAGAAUGAAACUCAAAGGAAUUGGCGGGG
rnacentral:rRNA from 1 species